UCCGUGUGAGAGUCCCUACAAACGCUAAAAAAAUGGCCUUAUAUAGCCAAAUCGAAAAGAAAAGAAAAAAAUAAAUCAAAAAACAUCUAUUUUUUCUCUGCCAUCCUUUCCUAUUUUCUUUUUGUCGCUCUUUUUUUGUUUUUUUCUUCGUUUUGCUGCUUGUUUGUGUGUUUGCGUUCGUAGGUACUGCACAGGGAGGACGUGGCGUGUAUGGAGGCGAAGGCGCGCGCGUACGAAGGCUCGUCACGUGCGGAGGGAAAGCGAAGAGAUGCUACUGCUGCGGCACUGGGGACCCUUGCUGCUAGGGUUUCUGAUUUCUGGUUUAGGCUAGUUGGGCCGUAUUAAUUUUGGGUUUGGUGGAUUUUUGUAAUUUGGACCGUUUAUUGGACUAUUUAAUUUUUUGUUUGGUUUAUAUUUUUUUUUAUUUUGAUUUGAUUUUUUUAUUACGGGCCGGGCAAAUUGGCCUAUUACACUGAAUACCCAAUAUUAUGACCCAAAAGUUUCAAGAUCACAAUAUUGUCCAUAUCCCUAAUGAUAAUUUGAUGGACCUAUCCGAAAAUUCAAUAGAAGGAAUGUCAUUCACAAUAGAC
rnacentral:lncRNA from 1 species